rnacentral:lncRNA from 1 species
CGGGACUGUGAAGGUGACCAACCCCCUCCCAGUGACCCGGCCCGAAGGAAGACCCCUGCAUAUGUGGAGCUGCCAAGCAAGAUGCCUAAAGGAAAGACAGCCAAGGGAAGAAGGUGACCCUGAGCAUCGCCGGUGUCAAGGACCAGGAGGCCAAAAAAGUGGUCAAUCCUUAGUUUGAGAAAAGGCCCACGAAUUUCGCCAUUUGGGAAGGACAUCCAGCCCAAAAGAGAUCUUACACGCUUCAUCAAAUGGCCCCGCUACAUCAUGCUGCAGCGGCAAAGAGCCAUCCUCUACAAGCGGCUCAAAGUCCCUCCUGCCAUUAACCAGUUCACCCAGGCCCUGGACAGGCAAACAGCUUGCCCACAAGUACAGGCCAGAGACAACGCAAAAGAAGCAAAGGCUACUGGCCCCUGCUGAGAAGAAAGCUGCUGGCAAAGGCGACGUCCCAACUAAGAGACCACCUGUCCAUUGAGCAGGAGUCAAUAUAGUCACCACCUUGGUGGAGAACAAGAAGGCUCAGCUGGUGGUGAUUGCCCAUGAUGUAGACCCCAUUGAGCUGGUGGUUUUCCUGCUUGUCCUGCCCAGGUUGGGGCGCCUGGUCCACAGGAAGAAAUGCACCACUGUUGCCUUCACAUAGGUUAACCCGGAAGACAAGGGUGCUCUGGCUAAGCUGGUGGAAGCUAUUAGGAUCAAUUGUAAUCACAGAUAUAACGAGAUCCGUCGCCACUGAGGAGGCAACGUGCUGGGCCCUAAGUCUGUGGCUCGCGUUGCCAAGCUGGAAAAAGCAAAGGCUAAAGAACUCGCCACUAAACUUGAUUAAAU